CAAGGGAUAUUGCGCAAUGGGCGAAAGCCUGACGCAGCGACGCCGCGUGAGGGAUGAAGGCCUUCGGGUCGUAAACCUCUUUUAUUGGUGAAGAGUAAGGACGGUAACCAAUGAAUAAGCCUCGGCUAACUACGUGCCAGCAGCCGCGGUAAUACGUAGGAGGCGAGCGUUAUCCGGAUUUACUGGGCGUAAAGCGCGUGUAGGCGGCUUUUUAAGUUGGCAGUGAAAGGUCCCGGCUCAACUGGGAUUCGCCUGUCAAUACUGGAGAGCUUGAGGGCACCAGAGGAAAGUGGAACUCGCGGUGUAGCGGUGAAAUGUGUAGAUAUCGCGAGGAACACCAGUGGCGAAGGCGGCUUUCUGGGGUGUUCCUGACGCUGAGGCGCGAAAGCGUGGGGAGCGAAGCGG
rnacentral:rRNA from 1 species